rnacentral:rRNA from 1 species
AUGUAUAUAUGGCUUUCCGAUCGUUCGAGAUUGUCAUUGUUGUCAAGUAAGGCUCCUCUAGAACCAAAAGAAAGAGGAAACAUACUUGACUUGGUACAUCUUCACAGAUACCUUAUAUUGGUUCUUAUGGGCCUUCUCUUCCUUCAGAUGCAUCAAACACUCUACAUGUUGAAAUUCUCCCAUCCAACUAUACUAGACAGGAGCUUGCACUGCUUCAGCUCCUUGAUUCUCGCUUCUCUACAUAUAUUUUGCCCUUUUACCGGGUUCUGUGAAGUAAGGCUGGUCAAAGAGGAUAUAAUAGCUUAUGUUGUCUUAGAAACUCUUGCCCUGGCGUUUUCUGCCAUGAAAUCUCUGCUAGGUGACUAUAACAUUUUUGUCAUCCUAAGUUGUGUCUCCUACAUUCUAGUAUCCUACUUAAUACUAAUGUCACUAAAUCUUUUGAAGUGUUGUUUGCACAUCCUUUGCAUCGAUAUCAUUGUGUGCCUAAAUUGUGGCUUUUAUGUAAGUACUUAUGGUAGUUGUCAAUCCUUUGGUUGUUUCAAUAUUUGGUUGCACAACUUUCAUGUUCUUACUGAGCUAGAGUUAACAUUCUAG